rnacentral:lncRNA from 1 species
GUGGGGAACUCUAUUCAGUGCAAGGUCACUCCCGCACCUCCUGACAGUACCUAUUGAAAUAUCAUUCUGGUCUUCAGGAGAACAAAUUCUCUGCCCAAGCAUAAGGUAGGUGUGAUGGGGCCAGACAGAGGUGUCAGCAUCCAAACUGGUCCUUCCCAUCAAGGGGAGAGGAACAGGAUGGGACUUGUUCACUGCUGCAGUGGACAUUUAAAUUGGGGUGGAUGAAUUGCUCCUAAAGGCACUCCUUUGUCUCACUUGGCUACAGUGGGAGCCUGGGGAACAGCACUGAGGUGGAGGUGACAGCAAACAUCCAAGGAGCUGAACCCCGAUGGCAGGGAUAGCUGCUCUCUGGGACUGCCCACAUCUCUCUGUGAGGACUCCAGCAGGUAACCAGGGCUCCCCGGUGCUCAGUGCACGGCUCCUGGAGCUGGUAGCUAGGGCAAGCAGUACAGAUGAAAGGAAACCAGGCUGCUUUAAUUCAUCCCACGGUCUCGGCUCUCCUUAAAUCACCAAUCUGUACAGUCAACCACAGCCUGCCUGCACAUUCAUAUAAAUCAAGCCUGAACAAAAUAUGGACAGAAGAGCUGAGUUUCAUGCACUAAUUCAAGAAGCAGCCUGGAUGAGAGAAUGUGAAAUUAAAAUGCAUCCUUCCCCCAGCUCCCUGUUUCACCCCUCUGUCCCAUUCCAGCAGUAAACUCCAGCACAGCCAGCAUCCCAUAACCAGGGGCAAGGUGUGAUGGGUGGACCCAGGCAGCACAGCCAAAAUGCAGAAAUGUCCCCAUCGCCUCCAGGCUCUUGAUUUGUGUGGGUGGGGAGCUGUCGUGUGAGACAGAUGAGAGCUUCAUGAUGAGGGCCAGUUCUGUUGCGAGGGUCAGUGCUAUUUCGAUGGCUGCAAGAUGCUCUAAUUAUAGUGCUGGGGUGGCUGGAGGCUGCCAGGAUAAACAGCCGAGGAAGCCCUGCAGCUCACUCGAGCUCAGUGCCAUUGGUGUCUCUUCCAGAGGGCUCAGGCAAGUACAUGACUUUAUAUAUACUGAGCUAUUUUUCUCUGCUACCUGCUCCAUGCUCUGCUUUGCCUCACUGCAAAACCACAGCGGUGUUGCGCUUUGGUGUUACGGGUUCUCUAGCAGCUUUUCCCUUGGGUUUUAUGCUCUGAUUUCUCCUGGUGUGCUGUCUCGGAACAGCCAAGAGAAGCAUUUGGCAGUAGCUUCUCAGAGCUGUCCCCUGCCCCGGGGUCCCUGCGGGUUGUGGGGUGAUCAGUCAGACAGCCCCAGCGCUCAGCUCUGCUGCUGGCUUCUGCAGGGGCCUCGGGCAAGUUGCUUUGCUGCCUGCUGCCUCAGUGUCCCCUGCUGA